GACGAACGCUGGCGGCGUGCUUAACACAUGCAAGUCGAACGGAAAGGCCUCUUUCGGGGGGUACUCGAGUGGCGAACGGGUGAGUAACACGUGAGUAACCUGCCCUUGACUUUGGGAUAACUUCAGGAAACUGGGGCUAAUACCGGAUAGGAGCUCCUGCUGCAUGGUGGGGGUUGGAAAGUUUCGGCGGUUGGGGAUGGACUGGCGGCUUAUCAGCUUGUUGGUGGGGUAGUGGCUUACCAAGGCGUUGACGGGUAGCCGGCCUGAGAGGGUGACCGGCCACAUUGGGACUGAGAUACGGCCCAGACUCCUACGGGAGGCAGCAGUGGGGAAUAUUGCACAAUGGGUGGAAGCCUGAUGCAGCAACGCCGUGUGCGGGAUGACGGCCUUCGGGUUGUAAACCGCUUUCGCUCAUGACGAAGCUUUGUGUGACGGUAGUGGGUAAAGAAGCACCGGCUAACUACGUG
rnacentral:rRNA from 1 species